GUCCACGCCGUAAACGAUGUCAACUAGCCGUUGGGGAACUUGAUUCUUUAGUGGCGCAGCUAACGCACUAAGUUGACCGCCUGGGGAGUACGGCCGCAAGGUUAAAACUCAAAUGAAUUGACGGGGGCCCGCACAAGCGGUGGAGCAUGUGGUUUAAUUCGAUGCAACGCGAAAAACCUUACCACCCCUUGACAUCCUGCGAACUUUCUAGAGAUAGAUUGGUGCCUUCGGGAGCGCAGAGAC
rnacentral:rRNA from 1 species